rnacentral:rRNA from 1 species
UACGUAGGGCGCAAGCGUUGUCCGGAAUCAUUGGGCGUAAAGAGCUCGUAGGUGGUCUGUUACGUCUGCUGUGAAACCUAGGCUUAACCCUGGGCCUGCAGUGGAUACGGGCAGACUAGAGGUAGGCAGGGAGAGCGGAACUCCUGGUGUAGCGGUGGAAUGCGCCAGAUAUCAGGAAGAACACCAAUGGCGAAGGCAGCUCUCUGGACGGUACUGACGCUGAGACGCGAAAGCGUGGGAGCGAACAGG